CCAUACGACCGUACCGCAAACCGACACUGGUGCGCGAGAUGAGUAUUCUAAGGCGCUUGAGAGAACUCAGGAGAAGGAACUCGGCAAAUUGACACCGUAACUUCGGAAGAAGGUGUGCCCUAUUAGUGUGUAGUGAACAACGAAGCAUGAAUGGGUUGCAAAAAAUCGGUGGCUGCGACUGUUUAUUAAAAACACUGCACUCUGCAAACACGAAAGUGGACGUAUAGGGUGUGACGCCUGCCCGGUGCUGGAAGAUUAAAUGAUGGGGUGCAAGCUCUUGAUUGAAGUCCCAGUAAACGGCGGCCGUAACAAUAACGGUCCUAAGGUAGCGAAAUUCCUUGUCGGGUAAGUUCCGACCUGCACGAAUGGCGUAACGAUGGCCACACUGUCUCCUCCUGAGACUCAGCGAAGUUGAAAUGUUUGUGAUGAUGCAAUCUCCCCGCGGAAAGACGGAAAGACCCCAUGAACCUUUACUGUAGCUUUGUAUUGGACUUUGAACAGAUCUGUGUAGGAUAGGUGGGAGGCUUUGAAGCAGGGUCGCUAGAUCUUGUGGAGCCAACGUUGAGAUACCACCCUGGUGUGUUUGAGGUUCUAACCUAGGUCCAUUAUCUGGAUCGGGGACAGUGCAUGGUAGGCAGUUUGACUGGGGCGGUCUCCUCCCAAAGCGUAACGGAGGAGUUCGAAGGUACGCUAGUUACGGUCGGACAUCGUGACGAUAGUGCAAUGGCAUAAGCGUGCUUAACUGCGAGACUGACAAGUCGAGCAGAUGCGAAAGCAGGACAUAGUGAUCCGGUGGUUCUGUAUGGAAGGGCCAUCGCUCAACGGAUAAAAGGUACUCUGGGGAUAACAAGCUGAUACCGCCCAAGAGUUCAUAUCGACGGCGGUGUUUGGCACCUCGAUGUCGGCUCAUCUCAUCCUGGGGCUGUAGCCGGUCCCAAGGGUAUGGCUGUUCGCCAUUUAAAGAGGUACGUGAGCUGGGUUUAAAACGUCGUGAGACAGUUUGGUCCCUAUCUUCCGUGGGCGCUGCAGAUUUGAGGAAGCCUGCUCCUAGUACGAGAGGACCGGAGUGGACACACCUCUGGUGUAUCGGUUGUCACGCCAGUGGCAUUGCCGAGUAGCUAAGUGUGGAAGAGAUAACCGCUGAAAGCAUCUAAGCGGGAAACUCGUUUCAAGGUGAGAUCUGCCGGGGCCUUGAGCCCCCUAAAGAGUCGUUCAAGACCAGGACGUUGAUAGGUCAGGUGUGGAAGCG
rnacentral:rRNA from 1 species